rnacentral:tRNA from 2 species
UUUAGCUCAGCUGGGAGAGCAUCUGCCUUACAAGCAGAGGGUCAGCGGUUCGAUCCCGUUAA